UUUGCGAUUUCGUCGGCCUUGUACCGGUACAAGAGCCCGUGUACCGGUACAAGGAGACAGAUUUUGUGGGUUUGGUCUGCAGGGGGGUUUUUCGCGAUUGUAGCCUAUCUAUAACAGCACCCACGCCCCUUAGGGCUUCUUUUGUGCUGGGACCUGAGGAGGAGAAGAGCUUGGAGAGGAGCUUGUGGCUGAGGAGAUCUCCCACCCCACUUGGAUUGGAGCUAAGUUUGGAGCUUCUUGAGAGGGCUUUUGAAGCUAGAUUGUUUGGAUUAGAG